rnacentral:rRNA from 1 species
AGAGCGAACGCUGGCGGCAGGCCUAGUACAUGCAAGUCGAGCGGCCACUUCGGUGGCAGCGGCGGACGGGUGAGUAACGCGUGGGAAUGUGCCCUUUGGUACGGAACAACUGAGGGAAACUUCAGCUAAUACCGUAUGUGCCCUUCGGGGGAAAGAUUUAUUGCCAUUGGAGCAGCCCGCGUUGGAUUAGCUAGUUGGUGGGGUAAAGCCCACCAAGGCGACGAUCCAUAGCUGGUCUGAGAGGAUGAUCAGCCACACUGGGACUGAGACACGGCCCAGACUCCUACGGGAGGCAGCAGUAGGGAAUCGUGCGCAAUGGGCGAAAGCCUGACGCAGCCAUGCCGCGUGAAUGAUGAAGUCUUAGAUUGUAAAUUCUUCGACCGGGAAGAUAAUGACGUACCCGAGAAGAACGCCCGACUAACUCGUGCCAGCAGCCGC